rnacentral:rRNA from 1 species
AACGCAUCUUGCGCUCCUUGGUAUUCCGAGGAGCAUGCCUGUUUGAGUGUCAUUAAAUAUCUCAAAAAAGAAAUCUUAUGCCUUGGCAUUGGUUUCUUUUUGGACAUUGGGAGUUGCCGGCUGCUGAUGAUAAAAAAAGCGGUUGGCUCUUCUGAAAAGCAUUAGUUGAGGAGCUUUGCACUCUAUUGGUGUGAUAGACUAUCUAUGCCAGGAGAUGCUUUAUGGCGAACCUCUGCUAUCUAACUGUCUUUAUUGGACAAUGUAAUGAACUUGACCUCAAAUCAGGUAGGACUACCCGCUGAACUUA